UGGUCAUAUUUUCAGAAGUUGGCACAGGAAGGGUUUGUUCAAAAAAAUGCUUCUUCUACUGACAAGGAUCGUCUUGGUACUCCAUCUGCAAUUUCAAAAGCUGAAGAAGGAGAUCAGAUAUCUUAUCAUCAAACACCUUUGACAACUGAUGGAAUGUCAAUAGACCAUGAGUAUUCCCAAAUCAAUUUUGGUGAAGACAUUAAGAAAAAUUUGCCAGAAAUGGUUGGAGCUGAAUCUACAAUGCUUUCAGAUUUUGUUCAUUCUCCAGUGAAAAACAGUGAAAGUAUGCAAUUUGAUGUUAUGACGGAGAACCUAAAGUCACCAGAUUCAUGCUAUGAGGGUGCUGAGU
rnacentral:misc_RNA from 1 species